GGGGGCGACCGGCUUCGACGCAGGUUGCAAAACUGAAGGCGCAUGUCGAGUAUGUAAUCUAACUCGUUAAAAUUUGGUUGCAUUAAAUAUAGUUGCAAAUGACGACUAUGCACUUGCUGCCGUAGCUGCAUAAACAGCUGGCAGUACCAUUGCCUGAAUGUGCUUAUGCGUACAGAGCCAAUGGUCAUAUUACAUAAGCUCGUAACGUAAUUUGUCCAAAUUGCGUUAUUAAACUUUAAGGACUCGCUGUUUAACUGUCCUGGUAGUCGGAUAAUAAGUGGUUAAAAUUAAAGACUAAGCUAAACAUGUAGUGCCAAAGGCGGAGGAUUUGCGGACGCGGGUUCGAUUCCCGCCGCCUCCACCA
rnacentral:tmRNA from 1 species